CCGUGUGCCCUGCUCAGAUCACUUCCAGCCUCGGCGCCAGAGGGAUUGUGCAGGAAUGCAAAGCUGGGCAUAAAUGCAUCUUUCUCACAAGCCUGCUUUAAAGGACAAGUCACAUCAGCUCUAGAGAGGGGCCUUUGAGAGGAUGGUGAGGUGGCUGCAGGAACCCCAGGGGAGCAGCAUCCUGGCUUCCUUCUAUCCUGCUGCAGAAAGUGCUUCCUUGGGGAGCAGCUUCAGCUGGGUAGCGAAGCAAAUGGAGCUUUUCCUGGCAAGAGGCAGAAGGAGCUCCCUGGCUUUUCUUCCCUAGCGCAGAGUGGGGUUGUAGGGCUUUGCAAGCUGACUAGAGAGAGGUGGCUGUGGGACCAGCAUGAAGCUGCCCUUGCCAGAAGCCGAACAGAUGGCAAGCCCUGUGCUCCUGGACUUGACAACCUCCAGAACCGUGAGCCAGAGUAACACCUUUUCUACACAAACUGCCUGGCCCCAGGGAUUCUGGCUAAGACAGUGUGCUUAUCUAAAGAUUGCUGCAGCUCUCAGACCUCAUCGGAGAGGUCUCUUUGUGCAGCGGGUGACAGUUAAUGAAGAUUCAUAGCUAACUGGACAAAAGGAUUCGGAGAGCCGGAGGAGGCUGAAGCAAAACAGUGUCUUCUAGAAAAGACAGGACUGCACAUGUGAACUCCUGGCAGCUGUGACUGCCUGGACAAGACCAAGUCAAUCAACAUUCUAGUGUCGAGUGGGGAGGGGCUACUGAGCCCCACCCCUGAGGAAGGAACUGUCACAGCUGGUGCUUCUGAGGGCUGAAGAACCAGUGUUCCUUCCUUCCUUCCUUCCUUCCUUCCUUCCUUCCUUCCUUCCUUCCUUCCUAUCUGCCUUCCUUCCUUCCUCCCUCCCUUCCUUCCUCCCUCCCUUCCUUCCUACCUG